rnacentral:rRNA from 1 species
CAGUAGCCGCGGUAAUACGUAUGUCACGAGCGUUAUCCGGAUUUAUUGGGCGUAAAGCGCGUCAAGGUGGUUAUAUAAGUCUGAUGUGAAAAUGCAGGGCUCAACUCUGUAUUGCGUCGGAAACUGUAUAACUAGAGUACUGGAGAGGUAAGCGGAACUACAAGUGUAGAGGUGAAAUUCGUAGAUAUUUGUAGGAAUGCCGAUGGGGAAGCCAGCUUACUGGACAGAUACUGACGCUGAAGCGCGAAAGCGUGGGUAGCAAACAGGAUUAGAUACCCCUGUAGUCCCUGUCUCUUAUACA